CUAACCGUGCAAAGGUAGCACAAUCACUUGUUCUUUAAAUUAGGACUAGUAUGAACGGCCCCACGAGGGCUACCCUGUCUCCCCCCUCCAAUCAGUGAAACUGAUCUCCUCGUGAAGAAGCGAGGAUAUCCCCAUAAGACGAGAAGACCCCAUGGAACUUUAAACUAGUACCACCCCUUUCUACGAGACCUCAUGACUACUAGUCUUUCGGCUGGGGCGACCACGGAGAAAAAUAAAACCCCCGAGAUGAAAGGAAUUAUCCUUAUCCCAGAAUUACUACUCCAAGAAUCAAAAAUGACACCAUUGACCCAAUACUUGACCAACGAACCAAGCUACCCUGGGGAUAACAGCGCAAUCCAUUUCAAGAGACCCUAUCGACAAAUGGGCUUACGACCUCGAUGUUGGAUCAGGAAGUCCUGGUGGUGCAGCCGCUACCAAAGGUUCGUUUGUUCAACGAUUAAAACCCUACGUGAUCU
rnacentral:rRNA from 1 species